rnacentral:lncRNA from 13 species
AUGCUGUUCAUUUUAACAGGUGUUAACAGAAAAUAAAUUGCUAUUGAUGCAAUUGUUACUUCAAAUGUAAGACUGGCCUUUAAGCCCAGCUCUGUGUCAACAAAAUGCAAGGACAGCCCACUGUUGGGAAGAAUUUCCAGGAAGUGAACCAAUUAGUUUCACAUGCUUUGCUAAAUAUUUUAUUUGCAAUGCACACUCAGGUUUUAAGUGUGUCUGUAUUGGCAUCCCACAAUAAUUGCUAGCUCACCUAUUAUUUGUUCAGUGAAUGAUUUGGUUAAAAGUACAACAAAACUAAAGUCAGAGAGAUGAUGAGAGGCUUGCAAGAAAAGGAAGGAAGAAAGGAAAGAAAAAAAGAUGAGAGGGAGGGAAAGAAGGAGCAAGGGAGAAGAAAGGGAAAAUAAUUCCAGACAGGUUUAAAGAUUGAGCUGACCCUGUCAUCUAAAUAUGGCAACGUGUACAUAUUGAAGAUAAAUUAUUUACUCACUGGUUUUGAGGAAAUAAGCUAAAUUAUCUUCUAGUGACUCCUAACUAGCCAACUCCAGAAACAAUUCUCUUUUGAGAAAAAAUGUUUUGUGAUAAAAGAUACAUUAACUAUUUAUUGUUUUUCCCGGUUAUGGAGGUCUCAAGCUGCCUUAAAUCUCAUAGAAGAAAUUUCAGGUUGAAGUUGAUGAUUUUAUUCAGCUUCUUUGAACAUGUCAACACGGAAAUUGUCCCUGACCACACAGCUCCACCUGUUCAUGGGCUGAAGAAGCUGCUGAGAAGUGGAUUCUACAUAAUUGGGAAAUUUUCCUGGAUUUCACACCUCCGUUUCAAAGUUUCCUGUGAUGCUGGCACCAGCCUAAUGAAAUUACACUCUUCUGUGCUCAGCCUGACUCACUGAGGAGGACAGCUCCCUUCAAAGAAGGCCUUCAGGUGACCUGCAGGAAGCCCUUGGGAAAAAUGGAACUAAAGAAGACAAGGCUCACAUGGAGCUAAGUAAAAUAUGAG